rnacentral:rRNA from 1 species
GACGAACGCUGGCGGCGUGCUUAACACAUGCAAGUCGAACGGAAAGGCCCUGCUUUUGUGGGGUGCUCGAGUGGCGAACGGGUGAGUAACACGUGAGUAACCUGCCCUUGACUUUGGUAUAACUUCAGGAAACUGGGGCUAAUACCGGAUAGGAGCUCCUGCUCCAUGGUGUUGGUUGGAAAUUUUCGGCGGUUGGGGAUGGACUCGCGGCUUAUCAGCUUGUUGGUGGGGUAGUGGCUUACCAAGGCUUUGACGGGUAUCCGGCCUGAGAGGGUGACCGGCCACAUUGGGACUGAGAUACGGCCCAGACUCCUACGGGAGGCAGCAGUGGGGAAUAUUGCACAAUGGGCGGAAGCCUGAUGAAGCAACGCCGCGUGCGGGAUGACGGCCUUCGGGUUGUAAACCGCUUUCGCCUGUGACGAAGCGUGAGUGACGGUAAUGGGUAAAGAAGCACCGGCUAACUACGUG